AUUGAACGCUGGCGGCAGGCUUAACACAUGCAAGUCGAGCGAGCGGCGGACGGGUGAGUAAUGUCUGGGAAACUGCCUGAUGGAGGGGGAUAACUACUGGAAACGGUAGCUAAUACCGCAUACCAUCAGAUGUGCCCAGAUGGGAUUAGCUAGUAGGUGGGGUAAUGGCUCACCUAGGCGACGAUCCCUAGCUGGUCUGAGAGGAUGACCAGCCACACUGGGACUGAGACACGGCCCAUACUCCGACGGGAGGCAGCAGUGGGGAAUAUUGCACAAUGGGCGCAAGCAUGAUGAAGCCAGGCCGCGUGUAUGAAGAAGGCCUUAGGGUUGUAAAGUACUUUCAGCGGGGAGGCGUUACCCGCAGAAGAAGCACCGGCUAACUCCGUGCCAGCAGCCGCGGUAAUAC
rnacentral:rRNA from 1 species